rnacentral:rRNA from 1 species
CGCUGGCGGCGUGCCUAAUACAUGCAAGUCGAACGGUCUUUCUAUGGAAGCUUGCUUCCACUGAGAAGAUAGUGGCGAACGGGUGAGUAACACGUGGGUAACCUGCCCAUAAGAGGGGGAUAACAUCCGGAAACGGGUGCUAAUACCGCAUAGUUUUCUUGAUCGCAUGAUCGGGAAAGGAAAGACGGCCUUUGUGCUGUCGCUUAUGGAUGGACCCGCGGCGUAUUAGUUAGUUGGUGAGGUAAUGGCUCACCAAGACGAUGAUACGUAGCCGACCUGAGAGGGUGAUCGGCCACAUUGGGACUGAGACACGGCCCAAACUCCUACGGGAGGCAGCAGUAGGGAAUCUUCCGCAAUGGACGAAAGUCUGACGGAGCAACGCCGCGUGAGUGAAGAAAGGUUUUCGGAUCGUAAAACUCUGUUGUCAGAGAAGAACAAGUUGGAGAGUAACUGCUCCAGCCUUGACGGUAUCUGACCAGAAAGCCACGGCUAACUACGUGCCAGCCGCCGC